rnacentral:lncRNA from 1 species
GGUAACAUUUUAAGGUACUUGACUAUCACUUUUAUAAGCUUCUCCUUGGUUCUAGCGUUCACAUAAAAUAAAGAGACAAACAUGUAUGAUUUGUAGCUCCAAAUUAAUCAACCUAAUUAAUUCAACAUGUUUAGUCCUUUAAUCUUUGUUCUUAGUACUACCUUCGUGAUCCCACACUAAUCUUAUAAGCUAAAGCAUUGCACAUUCAAUCUUUGGAAGAUAUAAACAAAACAUAAAUAUAGAUAGAUUAUCUUUCCAUUAGGUUAAGCCAUCUGAUCUAACAAAUGUUUUAAAUGCUACACUCAUGAUCCAUCAACUUUGUCCUGCUCACUAUGCUUAAGGUUAGAGAAGAACAACUACACUUUUGGUUCUGUUGGUGUUUUCUACCAACAGGGCCCAUGCUCUUGAUCUCUGCCUUGUCUCUAUGAGCAGGACACAUUUUGAGAAACGUGAAGGCGUUUUACAACUCCCAGAUUCCAUCAAGUGAAGAACCGGGAUCUACAAGCACAAACACAAUGGAGAUCAGACACUUAGUUUCCCAAAGGAAAUAUUGAAGAACCUCUGUGUUCGAGUUGGUACCUUGUACACUCCAGCAAACUUCGUGGUGAUAGAGACUGGCACUGAGGAGAGGGCACCCAUCAUCUUAGGGAGGUCAUUCCUAAACACCAGAAGUGUCAUCUACGCUAAUGCUGCCAAGAUCAGUCUCUACAUCAAGGGGAAGAAGGAGAUUUUCCAUCAAGAACAAGACUACACAAACUUCAGAGCAAUCCCGACAUGAACCAAGGAAGAGGACCAACAGGAGGAACAGGAACAAGCAAAUGUGGACCGAGUCAGCUAAGAUGGUCACUGCAGCUCAAGGAGGUCAAGAUCGUCGACUCAAGUCACCUUUCUUGAUCAAGAAGGACGACCCUGGUGUUCCAAGAAUCGAAUGCAGAAACAAUGGAUACUCUUUUUAGAAGACACUCUACGACACCGGAUCUGACGACAACAAAAUGGCCGCAGUCACUUAUCAGCUCCUGCAUGGAACCAUGCCCCUACAACCAAGAUACAUUCAGCUUCAAACAAUUUUCAGGUCAUUGACAUGGGAGAAGACAAGUAUGAUCCAUCCACCAUCCUUGGAAGACCAUUCCUAAACACUAUCAAAGCCAUUAUCUAUAUUGGAACCGGAGAAGUCCACAUGCACUUCCCCUCUGAGAAAGGUACGCCACUACUUUAAUGAUUAUAUAGUUGAAGAUUCUAAGCAGGUUAGGACAAGAAGAAGACAACGCAACCGCAACCAGAGGAGGCAAAUCAUCAAGGACGGACGGGUAGACUACGAAGGAGAAGUGAUAAGGACUGAAGACAUACAACUUGAACAGAACUGUCCUGAGGAGACCGUAGCACUGAGUCAGGUGUGGAAAGAGAAGAUAGUUAUACAUGAAGAGGAGGCGCCGCCGGAACCACCGACUACGCCACCCAGCAAAUCCCAGGACGAGUAAGAAAACGGAGAGUCCCGUUCGGAGGACUUAAGAAUACCGAACGCCUUGCCAAGAGGUAAACUUGGUUGGUAGUUAUCCUUUUCCAUUCAAUAGUUUGCUUAGUUAAUCAGGUUCAUGCUAUCUUAAAAAGAAAAUAAAAAUGUUAAAAAACAGUAAGCCCCAUGUGAGUAUACGAGUGGCAUAAAACCCAUAAGUACAUUCACUGUGGUGGCGUAAAAAUAAAAUAAAUAUAUUCUUGUCCUAUAAAUAAAAAAUAUAUAUAUAAAUUUACGAUCCUACUAAAGAGAGUAACACUUAACCAGUUCCACAAAGCUUUGUCGUCUAUUUGAGCUCAACAGAAUUCAAGGAUCAAAGAAGACUAGCAGACGGAGGACAUCCUAAUCGCUGUCAGGGUGCUACCGACUUUCAAAUACACCUCCACCACCUGCUAACUACAUCAGAAGAAAUUACGUCAAAAUCCAGCUUGGGGGAGAGCACCCCCAUUUAUCUCGCUAAGUAUUUCUACCUAUCUUUAUACUUAUAUUAUGUUAGAAUAUUAAAAUACAUAAACUAUGAAAAAUCCAAAUAAAAAUUUUGUGCUUUUAUAUAUACCUUUGCUUAGUUUGCUAAAUAAAUAAAUAGAAUUUGCUAUGAACCCUCAUGAUAAGCUCUCUCAUGGAAAUCAUGAAUAGUUGCUCUGCCUAAUUUGCAAAUUUGAAGUUCUCUCUCAAGUUUAGAUGUAACUGUUAUAAUUUAAGGCUUGCUCUAGACCUAAACUUGUGGGAUAAAAACUUGAUCUGAAGUCUAAGUUGUUAACGGAUACGAUAUGGGAAGGUUGAGUUGCUGUUUAUCUGUUCCUAGAGAUGCUAGAAUUCUGGAGAAUUUUAUCUUUGAAAAUCUUUAAAAUAUUGCAUGAUGAGUUCCUGUAUGAUGAGAGUUUAAAUUCCUACCACAGCCAUAUAUAUAUGCUUGCUAGACUUUGAGCCACACAUUUACUAUUUACUGCUUAUGAGCAUUGAGUGUAGUCAAGCUGUGUAGACCCUUAGGAACUUGUCAUGUGGUUAAAUCAAGAUUUCACUUGCACGUUCACUCAUAUAUGCUACUUCUACUCCGGAAGUACCAUCCACAUAUAUUCACCCAUUCUAUCUCCAGAAUCACCCAAAAAUAUUCUACUCCUAAUCCGGGAGAGAAUAAACAAAAAUAUUUCUGUUUCUCUUUGUGAAAUAAAUGCUCAAGUUAUCUUGUUACUACCACUUGCUAUAUUAUCUCAAGAGAUGAAUGCUCUAAAAAAAAUUUAAAAAAAAGAGAGAAAAACAAAAUAAAAGAUACGAGGAAAUAAAAAGGAGCAAGUGCUCGGAACCUCGAAAGAAAAGAAAAAAGAAGAGCAUCUCAUUCUCCUCAUAAAGUUUCAAAAGCAAGGAAGGUAUGUAUCCCCUCAAAGAGCAAAGUAGAAUUAGACUUCCACCACCAUUGUUAUCACCAUCAUCACCAUACACCAUUCAUUCGCCACACAUGCACAUCUUGAUUUGGCUUAUUGAUUUGUUUCUUUGGAUCCAUGGUUUGACUAUGCAAUAAAUGUCUUGUAAGUAUGUAUAUUUUAUCUCCCACCUAUGAGCUCCAGAUAUUAAAGCCUUAUUAGAGUAGGGUGAGAGAGAAGACAAUGUCACUAUGCUUCAUACCACAAAUACUACAUAUCUUGAGAGAAGGCAUAUACCAUCACUGCCUUGGUAAGGAUCCAAAAAUACCACAAAAGAGAGACUUGAGAGAAUCAUACAAGGAAUUUCUGAGUUUUAUUUGAAAAUCUCCAAAAACCCCAGAGCUAUAGCUGAUCAAGAAUAAGAGACAUGGCACUUGGCUAGACUGUUCUAUCUUUUAACCACUCAAGACAGAAGUGACGGUUACAUGUCCUAUGGUGUAGGUAAAGUAAGUAAGUUUUAAGUUUUAAUAGUUUAUUCUAACUUAGAGAUAAGAUCUUGCUUAAAUGCGUGUGUACUUCUAAGAAAUGAAACCACUGCAGAAACACUUGAGCUCAUCCUUGCUCAGGGACGAGCAAGAGGUAAGCUUGGGGGAGUUUGUUGACGGUCCUUAAGUAUCAAUUUUAAUUAUCAAAUAAAUAAAGAAAAGGAUCCAAAUGAAAUCAACAUCUAGACUUAGGGUUUUAUCUGACAGAAUUCCACGAGUUUUGGUGUUUGUCUAUUUCUGCAGGGGGUUAUCAGGAAAUAAGGAAGAAAGGCCCACAUGUCGGGAUUACAUAGAGAUAUCAACCCACCGCGCAAUUUUCUACCAUCUAGAAGACUCCAGAAGCCACGGGAAGGAAGCGGAGCCCGAAAGGGGCCAGGCCCAGGGCGCCCGCCCUGAGGACCUAGGUGCCCGCCCCCCUCUGGACUCCGUUCCGGACUCUCUUCGCACACGACGUUCCACCGACCUAUUGGAUCCAGAAUAACAUAGUACCACCUCGCCUAUCGACCCAAAAACGCAUAGAAGGGGAGGACUAUAUAAGGAGACCCCCUCUGGCCCCUUGAGGAGACAAGAAAUUAUCAUUGAGAUUGAGGGGUGCCCUAGAAGGAAAACCUCUUCUCUAAAUAAUAUUUCUUUUUAGGCUUAGCAACCAAUGUAAAGUAGAAAUAGAUCUUCUAGUUUCUACUAGAUUGAGAGAGAUAGAGUGGAGGUGUGAAUCGGAGGAAGGCCGGUCUGUCGGUGUCUACUCUGAGUUGUACCUACGGGAUCAAGUCUCCUAACCCGAGGCUUGCUUCUAAGAUUCUUCAGUAAUUCGACUUCUAAUACUAGUAAGUUCUUGUUUUAUUGUUCUUUGGUUUAUGAGUUUACUUUAAUCCUCUUCCGGUUGAGUAUUAGAGUAAUCACUUGUUAGCGUAAACGUGGUGUUUAGGCUAGGGUACUCAUAGAUAUCCCUUGACUAGCUGGACCGUGGUAGUAGCGAGGAACGUGACAUUUCCGAGUUACCUUUGUAGAUCACAUCUCGUUAGCAGGACGGGUAGGUUUGUAGGUGCGGGUCGAACAUCCUUUGUGUUGUCUAGAUUCUGUGAGCCUCCCCAAUAGAACAGUAGAUCAUCCAUACCAAGGUUAGAACGAGACUAAGGUUGCAGUCUUCUCUAUACAUCACUC